rnacentral:rRNA from 1 species
GACGAACGCUGGCGGCGUGCUUAACACAUGCAAGUCGAACGGAAAGGCCCUGCUUUUGUGGGGUGCUCGAGUGGCGAACGGGUGAGUAACACGUGAGUAACCUGCCCUUGACUUUGGGAUAACUUCAGGAAACUGGGGCUAAUACCGGAUAGGAGCUCCUGCAGCAUGGUGGGGGUUGGAAAGUUUCGGCGGUUGGGGAUGGACUCGCGGCUUAUCAGCUUGUUGGUGGGGUAGUGGCUUACCAAGGCUUUGACGGGUAGCCGGCCUGAGAGGGUGACCGGCCACAUUGGGACUGAGAUACGGCGCAGACUCCUACGGGAGGCAGCGGUGGGGAAUCUUACACAGUGAGCGGAAGCCUGAUGCGGCAGCGCCGCGUGCGGAAUGACGGCCUUCGGGUUGUAAACCGCUUUCGCCUGUGACGAAGCGUGAGUGACGGUAAUGAGUAAAGAAGCACCGGCUAACUACGUG